rnacentral:rRNA from 1 species
CCUACGGGGGGCAGCAGUGGGGAAUAUUGGGCAAUGGGCGCAAGCCUGACCCAGCAAUGCCGCGUGAAGGAAGAAGGCCCUCGGGUUGUAAACUUCUUUUAUCAGGGACGAAGGAUGUGACGGUACCUGAUGAAUAAGCUCCGGCUAACUACGUGCCAGCAGCCGCGGUAAUACGUAGGGAGCAAGCGUUAUCCGGAUUUAUUGGGUUUAAAGGGUGCGCAGGCGGCGAGUUAAGUCAGCGGUAAAAUUUCGGGGCUCAACCCCGACGAGCCGUUGAAACUGGCUUGCUAGAGUGGGCGAGAAGU